CAGGGAUGGCAAACAGACAGGUGUAAAGACAGUGUGAAAGGAUGCAGGGAGACUUAAAGUCCGGGUUUAUGUUUUCUCUUUGCAGAAGAUGUAGAGGAGCUGAAUGCUGGAGAGUGAGUGAAGGAGUGAAGCUGAGCCCUGGACGGAGGGAUCUGCUGGAGGAAAGGAGAGAGAGAGUGUCGGCAGAACUGGGCCACAGCAUCCGAGCUGGGAGACCUGAGAGAAGAGAUGGGAGAGGGUGGCUCCGCUGACUGGAGGAGUACCAGCUGGUCUCAAACAGGUUCCUUGGCCUUUGGAAUAACCUCAUUGGAGUUUGGAGGAGUUGCAGACAGAGAGAAAGGCGAGGGAAGAGUGAGGGGGAAGAAAGGGAACGAGAGAAAGAGGGGAAGGUAGUGAGAAACACUGGGUGAGUGACAGGAAGGGAGAGUGAGUGAAGUCCAGAGUGAGAAUGUGAUUGGUAGAGGAAAGGGGGAGGGCUGGAGAUGAGGGAAGAGUGUGUGGGUUUGGUUGAACAAGAGAACUGUAAGUAUCAAGGGUUAAACAGGGGGGAAAACAGUAACUAGCCAAUGGCAAUUGUUGAGAAAUUAGACCUGCCCAUGCAGACCUCAGAUCAGAAGGGAAACAAUUAUAUUUGGUUGCCUUUUUUCAUCCAGUAUUCAUGGCAAAGCUAAACGUUACCCCAAGUAACCAAUUCAUCCUGAAAUGACCUGUGUGGGUGAACCAAAUCUCAGAGAGUGAGAGUGUGUGUGGAUGCGGAUGCGUCAGUGCAUCAUGAUUGAGAUGUGAGGUUCACUGCACUUCUGCACAAUCUCCUUUUAGGACAAGACUUGUGGUCAUACUGACCCAGGUGUGUGCCGAUAACCAAUCAAUGGCCUGGACUUAAGAGUGAUCACAGAGGACGAGAGUGACACGCACACACACACUCCUUGGUCGAUGGGCCCCUGGGCUGACCUGAAAGGCGUCACAUCUGAA
rnacentral:lncRNA from 1 species